GAUGAAGAACGCAGCGAAAUGCGAUACGUAAUGUGAAUUGCAGAAUUCAGUGAAUCAUCGAGUCUUUGAACGCACAUUGCGCCCCCUGGUAUUCCGGGGGGCAUGCCUGUCCGAGCGUCAUUUCAACCCUCAAGCACAGCUUGGUCUUGGGCUUCGCCGCUAACCCGGCGGGUCUUAAAAUCAGUGGCGGUGCCGUCGGGCCCUGAGCGCAGUAAUCUCUCUCGCUAUAGGGUCCCGGCGGAUGCUGGCCAGUAACCCCCAAUUUUCUAUGGUUGACCUCGGAUCAGGUAGGGAUACCCGCUGAACUUAAGCAUAUCAAUAAGCGGAGGA
rnacentral:misc_RNA from 1 species